rnacentral:rRNA from 1 species
AUGAAAUUCGGAAAGUGGCUCAAGCGGCAGAUCGAGCAGAGCCUCCCGGCGUGGAAGGACGAGUUCCUGAGCUACAACGAGCUCAAGCCCGUCAUCGGCGCCGUCUCGCCGGCCGAGUUCGUCGCCCGCCUCGACGUUGAGAUCGAGAAGAUCAACGCCUUCUUCAUCGAGCAGGAGGAGUUCUUCAUCAUCACACACCGGGAGUUGCAGGGGGCGAUCAGGAGCGCGCUGGAGAGGAAGCCGGCGGUGCCGGCGUCGGCGCACGAGGCGGAGAUCGCGGCGAUCCGGAGGGAGAUCGUCAACUUCCACGGCGAGAUGGUGCUGCUGCUCAACUACAGCAGCGUCAACUACAUCGGCCUGGCCAAGAUCCUCAAGAAGUACGACAAGCGCACGGGCGCCGGGAUCCGGCUCGCCGUGAUCGAGACCGUGCUGGUGCAGCCCUUCUUCACGGCGGAGGCGGUGUCCCUGAUGGUGAGGGAGUGCGAGGCCAUGAUGGAGGCGGUGUUCCCCACGGCGCCCGGCGAGGGGCAGGCGGCGGCGCGGCGGGACCGCGAGGCCCUGGUCGCCGCGGAGCAGAGGAUCUUCCGCAACACCGUGUCGGCGCUCCUGGCCAUGCAGGACGUGCGCAGCGGCAGCUCCACGCGCGGCCGCCACUCGCUGCCGCCGCUCAACCUGCCGGACUCGGACUGGCUCCGCUCCUUCUAG